rnacentral:lncRNA from 1 species
CAUAUUCAGGCUACCAAGCCAAACCGGUCUUGAAAUGAAGUUUAGCCACCCAGGAACUGCCAGAACAGGAAAAGAUCUCCCUUAAGGUCUUGCUCCCUCUUCUGCCCUGGAUAUUUACACCACUGCCCAGCUGGAAGAAUAUCCCACUUCUCAUUGCAAUGUACAUAUACAAAUCAUUGUCCCGAACACCAAUUCAAGUGUACUUGGCCACUCUUUAAGGAACAGAUUGCCUGGGACUGUAAGAAGUCCACAUGGCAGCUUUCCAAUUGUAUUUAUCCACUUCAACUAAUUGAGUCACAUAAAUGUAAGUAAUUUGAAACAUUAUUGUGAGAGAUUUCUGUUUGCCUCUUUAAUUAAGCAGUUGUUCACAGGUGCAUACAGUUACAACAAAAUUAAUUGAUAGCUUUAUAUUGCAGUUCUUGAGUCUGCUGCUGUUUGGUGUUUGGAAACUGUG